rnacentral:rRNA from 1 species
GACGAACGCUGGCGGCGUGCUUAACACAUGCAAGUCGAACGGAGUGGCGAACGGGUGAGUAACACGUGGGAACGUGCCUUUAGGUUCGGAAUAACUCAGGGAAACUUGUGCUAAUACCGAAUGCCUUUAGAACGGCCCGCGUCUGAUUAGCUAGUUGGUGAGGUAAAGGCUCACCAAGGCGACGAUCAGUCGCUGGUCUGAGAGGAUGAUCAGCCACAUUGGGACUGAGACACGUCCCAAACUCCUACGGGAGGCAGCAGUGGGGAAUCUUGCGCAAUGGGCGAAAGCCUGACGCAGCCAUGCCGCGUGAAUGAUGAAGGUCUUAGGAUUGUAAAAUUCUUUCACCGGGGACGCGGUACCCGGAGAAGAAGCCCCGGCUAACUUCGUGCCAGCAGCCGCGGUAAUAC